rnacentral:rRNA from 1 species
GACAGAGGUGCCAAGCGUUAGGCGGAAUCACUGGGCUUAAAGCGUGUGUAGGCGGGCGGGCAAGUACCUUGUGAAAUCCCACGGCUCAACCGUGGAACGGCUGGGUAUACUGCCUGUCUUGAGCCAGCUAGGGGCGACCGGAACAGACGGUGGAGCGGUGAAAUGCGUAGAUAUCGUCUGGAACGCCAAAGGUGAAAACAGGUCGCUGGGGCUGAGCUGACGCUGAGACACGAAAGCCAGGGGAG